AAGAGAAGAAAAUUUUUGAAGUGUUCGCGGCAUUGUUUGGUUUUAAAUAUGUACAAACUGAUUUAAUGUUACGCUCAGUAAUGUUAGUUGCUGUCAGGAUAGACGCGUUGUAACAUGUAUAAAGACAAAUAUAAUCAAAAAUCAGCUCUAAGCGAUAAAACGCUGACAAUGGGAUCUAAAGAGAAGGAAAACACAAGAAUGGGCAAACAAACGGCAUCUGUGUACGCUGCCAAGAUAAAGACGAAAAUACACAAUACCUCGUCAUUCUUCAAGCUCUCUUUGAAAAGCAAUAACAAAGCUCUGGCCUUGGCUCUGGUUGCUCAGAAGCAGAGGAGCAGAGAACUGGAGGCAGAGGUGGUGAGGCUGAGGAAAGAUGCACAGGCAACUCAUUUUGAUCUUGCUUUUCAGCGUCAUAAAAACAAACAACUGUUUGCUGUUAUAAAAGAGUUUUAUGACUCCUCCCUGAACUCGAUGUCAAAGGCCGUUGACAUUUUUUGUAAUGAUGAGGUUCCAGACAGUGUUGACACUGAAGACAACACCAGUGAGGGUCAGAAUUUUGAAAUGGAGAAAGAGGUUGAACGAGAGCCAAAUAGACUAACAUUGUGUCCACAACAUCAUAAUAAUGUUGAGUCUGAAUCAGUGAAUACUGCUAUGGUCAAAGGAGCUACAGAUAGUGAUGCUCCCAACCAAAAGGAAGACAAUUUAGCACUUCAAAACACCAUAAAUGACUCUAGAAUGGAUAUUACCAUGAGUGACAAUCCUUCUGAAAUUCUGACAGUGGAAACAAACGCAGGAACCUCUAGAGUUACAGAUGAACAUCAGAUAAAGGAGAAUGUGUGUCUGUCUGAAAAAGGUAGUGAUGGUGUAUCUGGAGUGGAAGACUCGCUAAUUCAAUUUUCAUCAGAUUAUUCAAUAGCUGUGCCAAAAGAUAUGACCACUGUGACACAGCAGUGCUCUACCACUGUUCAGAAUGGCCAGGAAACAGAAUUACUAUCCGCUCGCAGGAAAACUCAUAUCACCUCUCGUUCUAAAAGGCGCACCUGUAAACCGAAAGAACCUAACCAAGAUCUAAGAAAAACAUAUACAGUCUCCAAAGAUCCUCCUAGUAAUAUUUUAAACGAUUGUGGUAAUGAUCUUGAGCUUGAGAAUUCUGAACCUUCGAGUAAAACGGUAAAAAACAAAGAAAAAGAGACUAAUGACACCCAUGAACCAAGAAGAACAUUUGUAGUUCACGAUGGGUUAAAAUCUGAGAAGAGCAGGAGGACCAAAGUCUCAAAACCUAUGAUGGAUCUCAGUUCAUUGUUUGUGGAUGAAAAUGUGGAGUCUGCCAUUAGUGUAUGCUCAGAAGAUCCAGGUACUGAUAAGCAUCUCAGUGAAGUCAAAACACACACAAAUAAAACUCCAGCGCACCUGCUUUCUCAGUUUGAAAAGAACAAUACACAGAAAAAGAGAGGAACUUAUGUGAUACAAACAAGUCACUCAAUCAACAGGAGUUCAGCAUUGACAGAUUGCAAUAUAUUUGAUGAUUCUAACAAAGCAAAAGGUUUACUGGAAGUAGUAGAAACCCAAACAUCACCUCUAAAUAUUGGUUUAGAUGUCACCGCACAACAUUACAAGAAGCCAGAGCCUGUUUCUCAUGACGGAUCAAAGAAAAAAGCUUACAACAGGGAACAUUUACAGGAUUUGCAAAUCGGUCUUGUAGAGGAAACCUCUGAAUUUACAUCAGUGCCGGGUAAAGCUAAGAAGCCUAGGAAAGAGGGAGCAGAUAGAAUUAAAGAUCGGAAUGUUCCAACAAAAGAAAAAUCCAAUUCAUUAACAAAGAAACCAAAAAAAUGUCCUGUGAAUGUGGAUGAAAAUGUGUCCACCAGAAGUCCAGAUGUGAUUAGUCUUCAGAAAGCAGCUGAAUGCAGGCCUUUGUCUAAUGUUUUACUACCACCAUGGAAAUCUCAUUGCUUAGCCGCAGAGGAGGAUCUCCUAGAUAAUCACCAUGCAGAAAUGCCUGAAAUAAGCUCUCCUUCAUCUGUUGGCAAGGCUGAUCAGACUGGCCAUAUCAACAUGGAUGUUCCUUACAUAAGUCUGAAUCAAACUAACCAAGAACAAGAGAGCAGAUUCAGGAAAAUGUAUAUGACUUCAUCUUCUGACAAUACGGCCUGUGAAGAAAUGGCUGAUGCUGCGUUUUCCAUUUUUGAACAGGAUCAUCUCUCUAAUAAAACAGAUGUUUCUUCUGUAAAGAGCACUAGUCCAUUUACCAUGGAUAAAUAUAAUAUGACUUUAGGCUGUUUUAGUGAGGACCUUCAGUUCACAGAAGAGAGACCUCCUUGGGAGGCCAUUGAGGAUUGCAGUGUGAUGCUCUCAGAUGAAAGCUGUGCUCACAGCCCUCAACCACAGACUAGAGUUCAGACUAUCAACAUUUAUGAGGACCAGGACUCAAGCUUUAAGACUCAAUUACCAGAAGAAGGAAGGGUAAUGAAGAGUCUAACAAACACAGUUAAUGCUGAUUUAGGGAGACCGCGAAGACGAGCAACACCAGUCACCUACAAAGAGCCAAAAAUCAACUGCAAAAUGAGGCGAGGGGACAAGUACACUGAUACACAAUUCUUAAACUCUCCAGUGUUCAAAGAUAAAAAGAAGAAAAAGAAGAAACUCAUUUCGGAGUGAUAAACCCCCCUGUCCCCAUGACAUGUUUUUUUUUUUAAGUUUGUCUUUUUAUGUAAUGAAAAUGUUUAAUAGUUUGAUUUUAAAGUAUUUUACCUGCAGCUGGUAAUAUUGCAUUGGAUCUCAGCUUUCCUUUUUUUGUGUAUUUAGGAAACAUUGUUUGAAUUUUACAUAUUUAUUUUAGUGUUUAAUAAAGAGAAUCUGCUCUAUGUGUAGUUUAACAUUGAUUCUACGUUGUAGCUGUGCUACAUUCCUGCUAAUCGUAUAAAAGUCAGUUGUGUUCAGGACCCUUUACAGCAGCUUUCAUAUACAUGCUAUUGAGCAGUUGUAUCUGUGUGUUAUGUAACCAAACACUGGCCGACAGCGUUAAAGUGAUUGAAGGACUGAAUUAAUAAUUUAGAGGACUGUUCACAUGAGAUGACUACAGUUCUGAGAUCAAGUAGGAGUGUCUGUUCUACCAGUUUAUGCUGUCUGAAAGCAGCCCGAACCCUCUCAUGCGUAGUUCUCUUAUUGUGCCAGAAUCUGUGCUAGAAUUUUAGGUAAGUCAUCUUUGUAUACAACUAUGUGUAUUUAGUAUUCAUGAGGCAGGUUGGUUUUCUGUUUGUACAGGUGAAGUGUGUUUUUGCAUCAAGGUUAAAGUCGAUGGAUUAUAUUAAACUGUGGUCUUUUCUAUACAGCAUAAGUUCUUUUUAAAAUGUAUUCAGUGUUUGUAGAGCUUGUUUUUGUCAUGCUUUAGGUGUUGGGUAAUCUAACCCUUGUUUGUUUUAUACCCUGUCAAAUGUUCAUCUAACUUUUCCUGUUAAUAGGAAACAACUGAGCUUGGAGUUUUCUUCAUGUGUUUAGUGUUGCCCCUGGCAAAGGAUUAACCACUAAGACUGAGUUUAAAUAAACACCUUCUUAUUAAUAAGUGUCUCAGCGAGAGUCUGAAAUAUGGAAGCCAAGCGAGUCAAGAGGGAUGUUAAAACCUUGCUGUAAGUAGCCUAAAAUGCAUUGAGUUGAAUCUAGAUUAGUGAAAUAGUUAUUUUGUGAGGGCUUGUCUUUAAAAUAAUGUUUAAAACUUGUAACGACUACAGAAAGAUAUGUCUCCUAAACUCUUUUAGUGGUGAAUAUAUUGGACGACGAUUCAGAGAAGAUAGUUUUGAUCCAAAGGGGAAAAGCACUUCUACUAUGUUGGAUGAUUUGGUAAUUGAUCCACAUUAAAGGACCAGUACAAUC